rnacentral:ncRNA from 1 species
AAUUCUUAUGGGCAAAUUUUACGAAAGUAAGAGACGCAAAACCACGGGCCUAAGGCAUUCGCUAUGGCAGCCGGGUUGCACAU